rnacentral:rRNA from 1 species
AUUGAACGCUGGCGGCAUGCUUUACACAUGCAAGUCGAACGGUAACAGGGAGCUUGCUCCGCUGACGAGCGGCGAACGGGUGAGUAAUGCGUCGGAACGUGCCGAGUAGUGGGGGAUAACGCAUCGAAAGGUGUGCUAAUACCGCAUACGUACUGAGGUAGAAAGUGGGGGACCUUCGGGCCUCACGCUAUUCGAGCGGCCGACGUCGGAUUAGCUGGUUGGUGAGGUAAAGGCUCACCAAGGCGACGAUCAGUAGCGGGUCUGAGAGGAUGAUCCGCCACCCUGGGACUGAGACACGGCCCAGACUCCUACGGGAGGCAGCAGUGGGGAAUUUUGGACAAUGGGCGCAAGCCUGAUCCAGCCAUGCCGCGUGUCUGAAGAAGGCCUUCGGGUUGUAAAGGACUUUUGUCCGGGAGCAAAUGCCUGGUGUUAAUAGCACUGGGAGCUGAGAGUACCGGAAGAAUAAGCACCGGCUAACUACGUGCCAGCAGCCGCCGUAACAC